rnacentral:rRNA from 1 species
AGUGAACGCUGGCGGUAGGCCUAACACAUGCAAGUCGAACGGCAGCACAGUAAGAGCUUGCUCUUACGGGUGGCGAGUGGCGGACGGGUGAGGAAUACAUCGGAAUCUACUUUUUCGUGGGGGAUAACGUAGGGAAACUUACGCUAAUACCGCAUACGACCUACGGGUGAAAGCAGGGGAUCUUCGGACCUUGCGCGAUUGAAUGAGCCGAUGUCGGAUUAGCUAGUUGGCGGGGUAAAGGCCCACCAAGGCGACGAUCCGUAGCUGGUCUGAGAGGAUGAUCAGCCACACUGGAACUGAGACACGGUUCGGACUCCUACGGGAGGCAGCAGUGGGGAAUAUUGGACAAUGGGCGCAAGCCUGAUCCAGCCAUACCGCGUGGGUGAAGAAGGCCUUCGGGUUGUAAAGCCCUUUUGUUGGGAAAGAAAAGCAGCAGGUUAAUACCCCGCUGUUCUGACGGUACCCAAAGAAUAAGCACCGGCUAACUUCGUG